GUGAAAAGCGCGCCCGAGGCAUGCCUGACUCAAGGCGACAGCCUUAGGGAUUUAGAGUAGAAAGGCAUGCGACCUACACUAGGUGCUCGCUUCAGGGCAGAGAUGCGCACCUGAACCCAGGCGCAAUAAAGGCGAGCUUAGGAGAUUUUAGGAGCCAGAAAAAAAUCGACCCAAACUCACGUGCUGCAUGCCUGUGAGUGGAGGAUCUCAGCUUAAUCGGUGCCGACGGCAAGAUUUUAUACCAAGAAAAGCUUUUCUCAUCUCUUUAUGGGUGUUUUAUCAAGCAAUAAUUCUUCAAUCUCAGCCAAAAAAAGGUCUUUGUUUACGGAGUCUUCUAGUGCCUCUGUGAGUGAUAGUGAUGUUAGAAAAGACCCCGGUUAGAAAUAUGUCCGUUUAGCCAAUCCAAGCAACAAAAAAUAAUAUCACAAUUCCGUGCUUCUGCUUCUCCCUCUGCUGUUGCCUUUGCAGACGAUGAUGAGCUUGCUCUGGAUCAUGGGAACUGGGACGGGUUUCCAUUCUCAAAAUGAGUAAGUUCAUUUGAUGAACAGUCUCUGCUGGAAAUUCCGUGCUGCUCAAUAUUGCAAGCUAAAGAUUCAUUUUGAUGAUCACAGUUGUUGUAGUCCUCAUUUGAUAAGUUUACAACCUUGAAUUUCUCAUUGUCACAAACCCCAGAUUUAUUUUUGUCACCGCAUCAUUUUGGUCCUCAUUUGGUAACUUUAAAUCUUCAAGAUGUCCAUUAUCAAAAUCCUCUAAUCUAUUUUGAUCGCUUGCUUUUUUUU